rnacentral:other from 1 species
GGAGGCCUGCGUUGUGCGUGAUGGGUAGAGGCUCGCUUGAGCCGAUGUUUUACCCCAAGCGAAUCACGACGGCUGCGUGGUGUGCAUGCCUCCGCAGAGAGGAAGCCUGAAGCGCGGCUUUUACAGUGGUUCCACCUGCUUCUGCAGGUUCAACGACCUCCCCACACGGCAAUGCGGGUACUGA